rnacentral:lncRNA from 1 species
GGUUUGCUAUUCACUUGAUCUGUAGAAGCCCACACAAUCAUACAAAUCAAGAGGUUCAAAUUUUCCUGUUCACUUUAAGAACACUCGUGAAACUGCCCAGGCCAUCAAGGCUAUGCAUAUACAAAAAGCCAUGAAGUAUCUGAAAGAUGUCACUUUACAGAAACAGUGUGUACCAUUCCAACGUUACAGUGGUGGAGUUGGUAGGUGUGCCCAGGCCAAGCAGUGGGGCUGGACACAAGGUUGGUGACCCAAGAAGAGUGCUGAAUUUUUGCUGCACAUGUUUAAAAAUGCAGAGAGCAAUGCUGAACUUAAGGGUUGAGAUGUAGACUCUCUGGUCAUUGAGCAUAUCCAAGUGGACAAAGCAUCUAAGAUGUGUUACCAGACCUACAGAGCUCAUGGUUAGAUUAAGCCAUACGUGAGCAUUCCCUGCCACAUCGAGAUGAUCCUUACUGAAAAGGAACAAAUUAUUCCUAAACCAAAAGAAGAGGUUGCCCAGAAGAAAAAGAUGUCCCAGAAGAAACUGAAGAAACAAAAACUUAUGGCACAGGAG